ensembl:lncRNA
GUGUGUGGUUUAGUGUGUAGGUGUGGUUUAGUGUGUGUGUGUGGUUUAGUGUGUGUGUGUGGUUUAGUGUGUGUGUGGUUUAGUGUGUAGGUGUGGUUUAGUGUGUGUGUGUGUAGGUGUGGUUUAGUGUGUAGGUGUGGUUUAGUGUGUGUGUGUGGUUUAGUGUGUGUGUAGGUGUGGUUUAGUGUGUGUGUGUGUGUGUGAGGUGUGGUUUAGUGUGUGUGUAGGUGUGGUUUAGUGUGUGUGUGUGGUGUGGUUUAGUGUGUGUGUGUGUGGUUUAGUGUGUGUGUGUGGUUUAGUGUGUGUGUGUAGGUGUGGUUUAGUGUGUGUGUGUGUGGUUUAGUGUGUAGGUGUGGUUUAG